rnacentral:rRNA from 1 species
CGCGUAGGUGGUUGCGUAAGUCGGAUGUGAAAUCCUGAGGCUUAACCUCAGAACUGCAUCUGAUACUGCGUGACUCGAGUGCAGCAGAGGGAAACGGAAUUCCUGGUGUAGAGGUGAAAUUCGUAGAUAUCAGGAGGAACACCGGUGGCGAAGGCGGUUUCCUGGGCUGACACUGACACUGAGGCGCGAAAGCGUGGGUAGCAAACAGGAUUAGAUACCCUGGUAGUCCACGCUGUAAACGGUGAGUACUGGGUGUGGGAGGUGUAAUGCCUUCUGUGCCGAAGCUAACGCGUUAAGUACUCCGCCGUGGGGAGUACGGCCGCAAGGUUGAA